UACGGGGGGGGCAAGCGUUGUUCGGAAUUACUGGGCGUAAAGGGUUCGUAGGUGGCCAACUAAGUCAGACGUGAAAUCCCUCAGCUUAACUGGGGAACUGCGUCUGAUACUGGUGUGGCUCGAGUGCAGGAGAGGAACGCGGAAUUCCAGGUGUAGCGGUGAAAUUCGUAGAUAUUCGCAGGAACACCAGUGGCGAAGGCGGCUUACUGGUCCAUAACUGACGCUGAGGUGCGAAAGCGUGGGAGCAA
rnacentral:rRNA from 1 species